rnacentral:pre_miRNA from 10 species
UGCGCUUCAUCCGCGUUUGCUGCGGACCUUCUUGUGUGACAUCACAAUAAGGCACGCGGUGAAUGCCAAUGAAACGUCA